rnacentral:lncRNA from 1 species
UUUUAACUAAUUCCAGGAAAAUAGGCAGUCUUAGGAACCAUGCUGUAGCUUAGAUUUUGACUUUCCAAUACCACUUUUUGUACUUUCUACAGAAGAAACCCAUUUAAAAUACAUAAAAUAGUAUACUGUACAUAUUGUUUCAUAGUAAAGGUCAGUAAAUAUAAAAAAUAGACAGUACAUGUUUAAUUUUGCGUUUUAAAGUUGUAUCUUCUGGUUGGGCAGCCAAGAUGUUUGCCUUUUUCAUAUUUCAUCUCAGUAUCAACAACUAUUUUUGUCUUUUUCUGUUUUAUUUCUCGUGGUUUUACAUCACAAACAUGCAGCUGCAAUACAAUGGUUUUCUAGGGCCGAUCGUGCACCAGAAAAUUAUAUUAAAGUGGGGAUAUUUUAAAUGAUCAUUUCCUGUGUGAAGAAUUUGAUUAAAUUUAGUUAAAUUCACAUAUAUUACUUAAAAUUCUGCAUACUAAUACCUGGCAACAGCUUGAUAUCAGACAGAAUGUGUGUCCAUACUGUAUGUUCUCAAAACAGUUCAUAACUCCAGUUUUAAGGAACUGGUUUACAUAUCAUUGAUAAAUGUAGCCCCUGAAGGGCAAUAUUAAUCUCCAGUUUUGAAAACAGCACAAUUAAACAGUACAGGACAUGGUAUAUAAAUAACACACUAGCACAGAAAUAUAUUCAAUACUCAAACGAUUUUUCCUGCACUGAUCCCUUAUAUACAGUGUAUAUCUUGUUUGCAGAUACAAUGAUAUACAUCUACAUAAUAUCCUCUGCUGCUGCUGGUGGUGUUAUUCUUUUUAUACUUGCAGCUGCAGUGCUGUAUAAAAGGAAAGUGGAGCAAAGCAGAGAAAAGAAAGACAAAACUGAAAACAUACCUGAGAAGAUUAUCAACCCAGUUUACUCUAAGUCCUACAAGUCUCAAAAGCAGUGUGAAAAUGCUUUACAACUUGCAGACAUUGAAACAAGUGAUUGCAUUUAUGCUAAUAAUAUGAUUCUGGAAGAUGAUACACCAGAUUAUGAAGAUAUCGAGGAUUUUGAGGAAGACAUUUAUGCAAACAUGUAGCAUUAUGUCUUCCAGACGUCUUUCUGCCUCCUUACUACUUUAUCUGUAUUUGGGAUAAGUUUGAAGAAUUCUGUGUCAAAGCCUAAUAUACUGUACAGUUUGUUCAAGUAGGGAGCUGCGUCAGCAUGUGUAGGCUGCAAAGUAAAAAAUAAAGGUAUCCCAUGCUGAAAAAUAAAGCAACAUUCCAGCUCUGGGGCCUUCUUCAGGUGAGUGAAGAACACCUGAAGAAGUCAACUGAAUGUUUCCACCACUGAAAAGCUGUCUCUUUUCUUUUCAUCAUAGAAUAAACCUUUACUUGUUCCUAACAUACAUUAUGUUUUACGAGGAAACUGCAUAUGUUUUCAAUGCUAUUCUAUAGUAAAGGCUGAGUACAUUGUAUUAAACAUGAAAUCAUGGUAAAACCAGCAACAAAACAGAGGGUGAAGAGAAGCAGGCACAUUACAGACCACUGGAACACACUGAAACGUUUAUGUCGAUUCUUUUGCUGGUAAAACUAUGAGGACAAAUGAGGACAAUGAAUACCACAGAAAACUAACAUAUCUGCACUUUUCAAACUAGAUUAAAUUCCUAACAUGUACUUCAAAAUAUUUUUAAAUUUUAAAUUGUGAAUAUUGUUUUUAGCCUAUGAAACUAACAUUCGAUGUUGUACCAGUGUUUUUUGUCCUGUAAUUUCUAUUGAUGUUAAUUUAUGUACGUCUUUAUAAGUUAAGGCUAUUAAUAAUUUUUUUUUAACAAAGCACUGUUGGAUUUUUAUAUACUGUAUGAUGAAUACAACAGGGAGGGACAAGACACUUUCUCCAGCUUCUUUUCUUCUUUUCUUCCUUUCCAACUAUGGCAACACAAUCAAAAUAUAAAACAGGUAAAAGAGGAGCAUUUCUAAUAAGUAAUUCUAAAAAUAUAAUGUUAAGAUGGACUUACUGGUUUCUUCAAAAUGCCCCUGAUACAACACAUUUUGUUAAAACAUCAAAGUUUAUUAUGAUGCUACUGUAUAUGGUACAGAUGUGUUAUUGAAAACCUUGAUGCUACACAAGUUUUCAGGAGAUGUAAAAUUACCUUUUUUUCCAGGAUGUAAUCGCUUGCUAGUUUAAAUGCACCCUCACAAUUUGGAGGAAUCCAGCCUUUAUGAUUGUGGCUGCCUAUUCCUGCUAUACCUGGUAUCGGCUAGGGUCUUGAGAUUAUGAUUUAGCUAGGAUUUAGGGUGCAAAUCGAAGGAAUCUAUAUACCACUGACAAAUGCUGACUAACUAGAUGCCUGAAAUUGUUUACAUAAAUCAAUUUUUAACGUAAUAUCACUGUAUAAGAUGUGUGAAUAACGCUCCCAAAGUAAUUCAUUAAAUAUAGUGACAUACUGUACUAUAUUCAGUGCAUUGUGUUUGUAUUAGGCCUUGCUGGAGUAAGAAGGACAUACAAAGGUUUUCACACUCUUAUCAUUUCAAAUAUUUGCCCUAUUUAAAUAAGGUUUUAAAAGAGGUGAAGCAAAAAUAAAG